UACGUAGGGUGCAAGCGUUACUCGGAAUUACUGGGCGUAAAGCGUGCGUAGGCGGCUUGUCGCGUCGGAUGUGAAAGCCCGGGGCUUAACUCCGGGUCUGCAUUCGAUACGGGCAGGCUAGAGUUCGGUAGGGGAGAUCGGAAUUCCUGGUGUAGCGGUGAAAUGCGCAGAUAUCAGGAGGAACACCGGUGGCGAAGGCGGAUCUCUGGGCCGAUACUGACGCUGAGGAGCGAAAGCGUGGGGAGCGAACAGG
rnacentral:rRNA from 1 species